AUUCCUUUAUUUUCUUAAUAAACUCACUUUCACUUUAUGGAUUCACCUCAAACUCUUUCUUGUGUGAGAUUCAAGAACCUUCUCUUAGGGUCUGGAUUGGGACCCCUUUCUGGUAACAUCUUCCUGGUGACCAUGAAGGGACAAUACUGAAGAGACCCCUGACCCUAAGGAAAUAGACUGCAGCACCAAUGGGACAACUUUGGGGCGAUCAUCUUGCCCAGAGACCUCAUGUUGAAACUCUUGCUCAGAGGUUGGAUGAAAGCUGACAGGGUCCAUCCAGAAGCAAGUUUGAGCCUUGCCAGUUCCAUUUUGGGUGCUGAGUGGAGUGGUGACUGUAGUGAACCUGUGAUCUCUGGCUGCUGCUCAGAAGAAACAGGAGGGAUGAGUAAUGUAAAUAAUCUGGAUUAUUAUUCUAAUUCUGAGCCUGUACUGGAAUCAGCUAGCAACCCCAUAUCAGCUUGGUUUCAACAGUUUCCCAGUUUAUGCUGCUGAGAAGUUCAGAGUCAAACCUGAAUCUCACCUCUGCAAAGAGCACAGGACCCCGGGGCAAAUGUUGUAUAUACCCAAGUCAUCCCUGGCGCCAUCUUCAUUUACUGCACCAGGCUUUCUUCAUUGUGAUGAUGUUCUCUCUUUAAAAAAAAAAAAAAAAUA